UACGUAGGUGGCAAGCGUUGUUCGGAAUUAUUGGGCGUAAAGGGCGCGUAGGCGGUUUGCUAAGUCAGUUGUGAAAGCCCGGGGCUCAACCCCGGAGGGUCGGCUGAUACUGGUGGACUAGAGUACGGAAGAGGUAGCUGGAAUUCCCGGUGUAGCGGUGAAAUGCGUAGAUAUCUGGAGGAACACCGGUGGCGAAGGCGACGUCCUGGACCGGCAUUGACGCUGAGGCGCGAAAGCCAGGGGAGCAAACGGG
rnacentral:rRNA from 1 species